GAGUUUGAUUCUGGCUCAGAACGAACGCUGGCGGCGCGUCUUAAGCAUGCAAGUCGAACGGUAAGGGAGAGCUUGCUCUCCCCUAGAGUGGCGGACUGGUGAGUAACGCGUGGGUGACCUGCCUUUGAGAUGGGGAUAGCUAUUAGAAAUAGUAGGUAAUACCGAAUAAUCUCAUCGACAUAAAGGGAGAUGAGGAAAGGAGCUUCGGCUCCGCUCGAAGAUGGGCCCGCGUCCCAUUAGCUAGUUGGUGAGGUAACGGCUCACCAAGGCGACGAUGGGUAUCCGGCCUGAGAGGGUGAACGGACACAUUGGGACUGAGAUACGGCCCAAACUCCUACGGGAGGCAGCAGCUAAGAAUCUUCCGCAAUGGACGAAAGUCUGACGGAGCGACGCCGCGUGAACGAUGAAGGCCGAAAGGUUGUAAAGUUCUUUUGCAGAUGAAGAAUAAGGAUAGGAGGGAAUGCCUAUCUGAUG
rnacentral:rRNA from 1 species